rnacentral:sRNA from 1 species
GCUGGGCACGGUGGUGCAUGCCUGUAAUCCCAGUGGCUCAGGAGGCUGAGGCAGGAAGAUCACGAGUUCAAUGCCAGCCUAAGCAAAAGUGAGGCACUAAGCAACUCAGUGAGACCCUGUCUCUA